rnacentral:rRNA from 1 species
UCCUACGGGAGGCAGCAGUGGGGAAUUUUGGACAAUGGGCGCAAGCCUGAUCCAGCAAUGCCGCGUGUGUGAAGAAGGCCUUCGGGUUGUAAAGCACUUUUGUUCGGGAAGAAAAGGACUGGGCUAAUAUCCUGGUCUGAUGACGGUACCGGAAGAAUAAGCACCGGCUAACUACGUGCCAGCAGCCGCGGUAAUACGUAGGGUGCAAGCGUUAAUCGGAAUUACUGGGCGUAAAGCGUGCGCAGGCGGUUUGUUAAGACAGAUGUGAAAUCCCCGGGCUUAACCUGGGAACUGCAUUUGUGACUGGCAAGCUAGAGUAUGGCAGAGGGGGGUGGAAUUCCGCGUGUAGCAGUGAAAUGCGUAGAUAUGCGGAGGAACACCGAUGGCGAAGGCAGCCCCCUGGGCCAAUACUGACGCUCAUGCACGAAAGCGUGGGGAGCAAACAGGAUUAGAUACCCUGGUAGUCCACGCCCUAAACGAUGUCAACUAGUUGUUGGGGAUUCAUUUCCUUAGUAACGUAGCUAACGCGUGAAGUUGACCGCCUGGGGAGUACGGUCGCAAGAUUAAAACUCAAAUGAAUUGACGGA